rnacentral:tRNA from 2 species
CGGGGCGUGGCGCAGUCUGGCAGCGCGCCUGCUUUGGGAGCAGGAUGCCGGGAGUUCAAAUCUCUCCGCCCCGACCA